rnacentral:sRNA from 1 species
GAGCCCGCGCCCUCGUCCGCGCGACCCGGCGGCGGGCUCCAGGCCGGCAGCAUGAGCGGCGGCGGCGACGUGGUGUGCACCGGCUGGCUGAGGAAAUCGCCUCCCGAGAAGAAGUUGAGGCGCUAUGCCUGGAAGAAACGCUGGUUUAUCCUGCGGAGUGGCCGGAUGAGCGGUGACCCAGAUGUUCUGGAAUACUACAAGAACGAUCACUCCAAGAAGCCUCUGCGGAUCAUCAACCUGAACUUCUGUGAGCAGGUAGAUGCAGGCCUGACCUUUAACAAGAAGGAGCUGCAGGAUAGUUUUGUGUUUGACAUCAAGACCAGUGAACGCACCUUUUACCUGGUGGCUGAGACAGAAGAGGACAUGAAUAAGUGGGUCCAGAGCAUCUGCCAGAUCUGUGGCUUCAAUCAGGCUGAGGAGAGCACAGGUAUGAGAACGCACACAGAUCUUUCUCAUAGGGGGUUGAGGUGAGGCCCUUGGAUUCCUGGAGCAUUGAGAGCAGGCUCUAGCUAAGGUUUCCUGUUGGAAGAGCAUUCAUAGAUAAAGGGUAAAGAGUGUGAAGGGGUUG